rnacentral:rRNA from 1 species
UGGGGAAUAUUGGGCAAUGGGCGAAAGCCUGACCCAGCAACGCCGCGUGAGGGAAGGCGGUUUUCGGAUUGUAAACCUCUGUCUUCGGUGAAGAAACAAAUGACGGUAACCGAGGAGGAAGCCACGGCUAACUACGUGCCAGCAGCCGCGGUAAUACGUAGGUGGCGAGCGUUGUCCGGAAUUAUUGGGCGUAAAGAGCGCGUAGGCGGCUUGCCAGGUCCGACGUGAAACCCCGGGGCUCAACUCCGGACGUGCAUCGGAAACCGGCUUGCUAGAGUCUGGGAGAGGAAAGUGGAAUUCCUAGUGUAGCGGUGAAAUGCGUAGAUAUUAGGAGGAACACCAGUGGCGAAGGCGACUUUCUGGACUGUAACUGACGCUGAGGCACGAAAGCGUGGGGAGCAAACA